GUCCUUAGUUGCCAGCAUUCAGUUGGGCACUCUAAGGAGACUGCCGGUGUUAAACCGGAGGAAGUGGGGAUGACGUCAAGUCCUCAUGGCCCUUAUGUCCAGGGCUACACACGUGCUACAAUGGCCGGUACAAAGGGCUGCAAGACCGUGAGGUUGAGCGAAUCCCAGAAAGCCGGUCUCAGUUCGGAUUGGAGUCUGCAACUCGACUCCAUGAAGUUGGAAUCGCUAGUAAUCGCGGAUCAGCAUGCCGCGGUGAAUACGUUCCCGGGCCUU
rnacentral:rRNA from 1 species